GUGGUAGUGGUGGCCAGUAUGCUAAUAUCACCGUUAAUGGGACCAAUCAUGGGAGGUACAUUUGGGAUUGUAAUCAAACACAAUCCAUUACGAAAUACUGGAAUUAAAACUGAGGUUGUUGGUCUACUCAUGUGUGUUUUCUGUGGGCUGUUAUUUGGUUUCGUUGCUUAUCCAUUUCUUGGGGAUGUGUGGCCAACUGAUGAGAUGAAAAGCAGG